rnacentral:lncRNA from 1 species
AAUUAAUAGAUCAUCGAUUUUGAUUUUGGAUCUGGAAUAUUUUGGUGUAGACCUCUUUCCUCUUAAAUCUGAAGCUUGUACUUCUUCAAUUAAUAUCAGCCCUCUAUUUGAAAGAACUUGAGGUUGCCAAGUAACUUUGAUGAAUAUUCCACUAGGGGUGGAUUAGAGUUGUUUAUGAUCUAAUCUUGUGAUAGAUCGAUUAAUCAAGAGUAGUUGAUAUUUUGACAAAGAAACUUGAUGUUCUUAUUCAAAAUUAAGACGUUGAUUUUUAUUUAUGAGAGAGAGAAGUUUGAUUUACAUCAUCUAUAAAAAGAACCAAAUCUGGAGGUAUUGGACCUUAUUCUUAUGAUAAGAUGAAAUUAUAUUGAUAAGUAGAACUAUUGGAAGACUGAGGUUAAUCUUCUAGUAGAGAAGAAUGUUGUUGGUUCUAUGAAUAAUCUGAAGGUAGCUAUGUAAUUUUCAUCAGUGGGGUUUUCUAUUGUUGACAAUUCUUGGGAGAAUCUUGGGCAUCUUAAAUUUAGUAUUAACGGAUUGAUGGUUACUUGGUUGGACUUAGAUCUGGAAAGUUUUAACAUGGAUCUCCUAUUCCUUAUUCUAACAUUGUUAAUCUGGCUAUUUGAAAGGGCUUGAGGUUUUUCUAAGACAAAGGUUGAUCAUUAUAUCAUGGAAAAAAAAGAGGAGCAUUUGAUACUAAAGCUUUCUCCUACUUACAUUUAACCGAUUAAAUUUCUUUGUAGAAUUAAUCAGGAGCAAUUAAUUUCUUCAAAAAAAAAAGAAUUAUGACAUUUUAAUCCAAGGCUGGAAGGUUAGUCUUAUUUUGAAAGAGAUCAAAAGAACUUGC